rnacentral:rRNA from 1 species
UAGGGAAUCUUCGGCAAUGGACGAAAGUCUGACCGAGCAACGCCGCGUGAGUGAAGAAGGUUUUCGGAUCGUAAAGCUCUGUUGUAAGAGAAGAACGGGUGUGAGAGUGGAAAGUUCACACUGUGACGGUAUCUUACCAGAAAGGGACGGCUAACUACGUGCCAGCAGCCGCGGUAAUACGUAGGUCCCGAGCGUUGUCCGGAUUUAUUGGGCGUAAAGCGAGCGCAGGCGGUUAGAUAAGUCUGAAGUUAAAGGCUGUGGCUUAACCAUAGUACGCUUUGGAAACUGUUUAACUUGAGUGCAGAAGGGGAGAGUGGAAUUCCAUGUGUAGCGGUGAAAUGCGUAGAUAUAUGGAGGAACACCGGUGGCGAAAGCGGCUCUCUGGUCUGUAACUGACGCUGAGGCUCGAAAGCGUGGGAGCGAACAGGAUUAGAUACCCUGGUAGUCCACGCCGUAAACGAUGAGUGCUAGGUGUUAGGCCCUUUCCGGGGCUUAGUGCCGCAGCUAACGCAUUAAGCACUCCGCCUGGGGAGUACGACCGCAAGGUUG